rnacentral:rRNA from 1 species
GGUGGAACCUGCAGAUGGAUCAUUAGUGAAUUACUUUGGGCAAUUUCUCUCUGAGUCAUUGCCCAAUUCUCUACUAUCCAACACAGACUACGGAAAGUGACGCAGUAAUGCAAGCUUGUCCGGAUUGAGGCAAUGUCUUUUGACCUCUUGCUUCACAACUUUUUAAACUCUUUACAAUUGAAGAAUGUAAAAACUGUCUUCGGACAUAAAUAAUAUACAACUUUUGACAACGGAUCUCUUGGUUCUCCCAUCGAUGAAGAACGCAGCGAAAUGCGAUAAGUAAUGUGAAUUGCAGAAUUCAGUGAAUCAUCGAAUCUUUGAACGCACCUUGCGCCCUUGGGUAUUCUCAAGGGCAUGCCUGUUUGAGUGUCAUAACAAUCUCAUCUCUCAGUCUUUUUGAAAGAGAAGGCUGUUUGGAGAUGGUGAUGGGCGUUUGCCAGACAUCCGUCUUGCUCGCCUGAAAUAUAUCAGUAGAUCUCUUUGAGUCUGGUCUGACUAUGUGUGAUAAUUUGAUCGCAUAGGAUGUGCUCUGCACAACCAGCUUAACAACAGAGGCUUGCUUCUAACACGGAAUGGUCAGAGAGUAAUUUUCUGCCAUCGUUAGCUAUAUUGUCUGACCUCAAAUCAGGUAGGACUACCCGCUGAACUUAAGCAUAUCAAUAAGCGGAGGAGGA